rnacentral:sRNA from 1 species
CUAUAGCCCUGAUAGGAGGGAAAAUCCUUUUCUUUUUUUCUUUAAAAAAGAAAAGAUUUGGAAUGAUAGCAGGAAAUAGC